CCCUGAGGUAUUCACUACCAUGGCUCAUAGACAUCCACAAUGAUCAGAAGGUUUCCAUAUGGUGCAAGUGUCCCACUCUCUGAAGCCACACCCCAAGGUACAAUUCCAGAGCUUGAGAACUUAGUAUCCAAAGAAGUUCCUGGUUUGCAGAGGAAUUGAAACGAUCUCUGGAGACAGAAGCAUAAAACUUCUAAACUGAAGAGUACAC
rnacentral:lncRNA from 1 species